AAACCGUGUUAUGGGCAUAAACUAACGAGAUCCUUAAAACGCUCCCAACAUUAGAAGAAUGUCUCAGCUUCCUUUUGGGCAAAGUUCAUGAUCGACUUUUUGAUGGU